GAUGAACGCUGGCGGCGUGCCUAAUACAUGCAAGUCGAGCGAACAGACGAGGAGCUUGCUCCUCUGACGUUAGCGGCGGACGGGUGAGUAACACGUGGAUAACCUACCUAUAAGACUGGGAUAACUUCGGGAAACCGGAGCUAAUACCGGAUAAUAUAUUGAACCGCAUGGUUCAAUAGUGAAAGACGGUUUUGCUGUCACUUAUAGAUGGAUCCGCGCCGCAUUAGAUAGUUGGUAAGGUAACGGCUUACCAAGGCAACGAUGCGUAGCCGACCUGAGAGGGUGAUCGGCCACACUGGAACUGAGACACGGUCCAGACUCCUACGGGAGGCAGCAGUAGGGAAUCUUCCGCAAUUGGCGGAAGCCUGACGGAGCAACGCCGCGUGAGUGAUGGAGGUCUUCGGAUCGUAAAACUCUGUUAUGAGGGAAGAACAAAUGUGUAAGUAACUAUGCACGUCUUGACGGUACCUAAUCAGAAAGCCACGGCUAACUACGUG
rnacentral:rRNA from 1 species